GAUGAACGCUGGCGGCGUGCCUAAUACAUGCAAGUCGAGCGAACGGACGAGAAGCUUGCUUUUCUGAUGUUAGCGGCUGACGGGUGAGUAACACGUGGAUAACCUACCUAUAAGACUGGGAUAACUUCGGGAAACCGGAGCUAAUACCGGAUAAUAUUUUGAACCGCAUGGUUCAAAAGUGAAAGACGGUCUUGCUGUCACUUAUAGAUGGAUCCGCGCUGCAUUAGCUAGUUGGUAAGGUAACGGCUUACCAAGGCAACGAUGCAUAGCCGACCUGAGAGGGUGAUCGGCCACACUGGAACUGAGACACGGUCCAGACUCCUACGGGAGGCAGCAGUAGGGAAUCUUCCGCAAUGGGCGAAAGCCUGACGGAGCAACGCCGCGUGAGUGAUGAAGGUCUUCGGAUCGUAAAACUCUGUUAUUAGGGAAGAACAUAUGUGUAAGUAACUGUGCACAUCUUGACGGUACCUAAUCAGAAAGCCACGGCUAACUACGUG
rnacentral:rRNA from 1 species